UAGAGAACCUGCCCUUUGGGUAGAUCUCCCACCCUUUGUUUACAAUACCUUCGUUGCUUUGGCAGGCCCGUCUUUUCGACCACCGGCUGCGGCUGGUCAGUGCCUGCCAGAGGACCCCAAACUCAUUGAUUUUGGCAUCGUCUGAGCACUAUAUAAAUAGUUA
rnacentral:misc_RNA from 1 species